UUUCUUAGCAGAUACCCGGUACCCCAA
rnacentral:piRNA from 1 species